rnacentral:rRNA from 1 species
CGCGGGGUAAUUUACCAGGUAUCACAUGAUAUAACAUUUUAUCAUGAUAGUGGUGCAUGGCCGUUUCCAAUGGAUGCUGUGAAGUAAUGAUUAAUUUCAACAAGAUGUGAGACCCUCUAUUAAGACAGAUGUAGUGAUACAUAUGAAGGAGAGGAUUAAAACAGGUCCGUUAUGCCCUAAGAUAAUCUGGGUUGCACGCGCAAUACAAUAAUAUUUCAUAUUAUAAGGGAUAAUAUAAUGUAAGAUAUAUUUGAACAUGGAAUUGCUAGUAAAUUUUAUUUAAUAAGUAGAAUUGAAUGUGUCCCUGUUCUUUGUACACACCGCCCGUCGCUAUCUAAGAUGGUAUUAUCUAUGAACAAAUUUAUAAAGUGAAUAGAUAGUACUAGAUCUGAUAUAAGUCGUAACAUGGUUGCUGUUGGAGAACCAUUAGCAGGAUCAUAA